GACGAACGCUGGCGGCGUGCCUAAUACAUGCAAGUCGAACGCAGUGGGGACGGGUGAGUAACACGUGGGUAACCUCCCAUCAGAGGGGAUAACACUUGGAAACAGGUGCUAAACCGCUACUGAUGGAUGGACCCGCGGUGCAUUAGCUAUUUGGUGAGGUAACGGAUCACCAAGGCCACGAUGCAUAGCCAACCUGAGAGGGGGAUCGGCAACACUGGGAAGGAGACAAGGCCCAGACUCCUACGGGAGGCAGCAGUAGGGAAUCUGAGGCAAUGGACGAAAGUCUGACCGAGCAACGCCGCGUGAGUGAAGAAGGUGUUCGGAUCGUAAAACUCGGUUGUGAGAGAAGCGGUAUCUAACCAGAAAGCAACGGCUAACUACGUGCCAGCAGCCGCGGUAAUUC
rnacentral:rRNA from 1 species